GAUUUUAAAAUUACGGAGAUACAAUAUUUACAUAUCGCCUGAGGAAACACAACCAGAUCUCAUAAUGCAGGGAAACAGUUGCAUAGUCAAGUACCUGCACACUUGGAGGACUACAUUGCAUGGAAAUAAUUGUAGGGAUUAAAAAUUAAAAGUCCAAC